AGUGACCUGGAUGAGAUUGCAGAUUAUUAUUCUAAGUGAGGUAACUCAAAUAUGUAUAUUUAUAUAUUAUAUAUUAUAUAUAAUAUAUAUGUGUAUUAUAUAUUAUAUGUAUAUUAUAUAUAACAUAUAUAAUAUAUUUGUAUUAUAUAUUAUAUAUGUAUAUUGACAAAGGUGAAAAGACAACUCAAUGGGGAAUGGACAGUUUUUCAACAGAUGAUUUUAAAACAACUGAACAUCCAUAUGCAAAAAAAUAAACCUACCUAAAUUUCACAGCUUAUACAAAAAUUAACCUAAAAUGGAUCACGGAUCUAAAUGUAGAACUAAAUUUAUAAAAUUUUUAGAAGAAAAAAAUCCAUAGGCCGGGCACGGUGGCUCAUGCCUGUAAUCCCAGCACUUUGGAGGCUGAGGCGGGCAGAUCCCUUGAGGUCAGUUCAAGACUAGCCUAGCCUAUAUGGUGAAAUCCCAACUCUACUAAAAAUAAAAAAUAAAAAUAAAAAAUGGGCUGGGAGUGGUGGUGCACACCUGUAGUCCCAGCUACUUGUUUUUA
rnacentral:lncRNA from 1 species